rnacentral:rRNA from 1 species
GACGAACCGUGCGAACGUUGUUCGGAAUCACUGGGCUUAAAGGGCGCGUAGGCGGGUGACCAAGUCCGGGGUGAAAUCUUUCGGCUUAACCGGAAAAGUGCCUUGGAUACUGGUCGCCUGGAGGGAGGUAGGGGCAUGUGGAACUUCCGGUGGAGCGGUGAAAUGCGUUGAUAUCGGAAGGAACGCCGGUGGCGAAAGCGACGUGCUGGCCCUCUUCUGACGCUGAGGCGCGAAAGCCAGGGGAGCGAACAGG